rnacentral:ncRNA from 2 species
UCCACAGCUUAUGUGCUAGGUGCUUGCGUCGCAAGUGAAACGGGAAAACAGUGAAAUUCUGUUACUGCCCCCGCAACAGUAAUACUACAAAGCCAUACGGCGUAGUAAGUCUGGAGACCGGCCUAACAUUAUUAUUUUUU